rnacentral:rRNA from 1 species
GACGAACCGUGCGAACGUUAUUCGGAAUCAUUGGGCUUAAAGGGCGCGUAGGCGGCGGCGUAAGUUGGAAGUGAAAUCCCAUCGGCUCAACCGUGGAAUAGCUUUCAGUACUGCGUCGCUCGAGUGAGAUAGGGGUCCGUGGAACUACCGGUGGAGCGGUGAAAUGUGUUGAUAUCGGUGGGAACGCCAGUGGCGAAAGCGACGGACUGGACCUUUACUGACGCUGAGGCGCGAAAGCUAGGGGAGCAAACGGGAUUAGAUACCCCGGUAGUCCUAGCCUUAAACGUUGGGUACUGGGUAGAAAGGGUUCCGAUAGCCCCUUCUGCCGGAGCGAAAGUGUUAAGUACCCCGCCUGGGGAGUAUGGUCGCAAGGCUGAA